GGAGAGCGAGACACCUCAGCAACGCACGUGGCGACCGCAGGUCGAGACACUUCAUUAACGGACGCCAGGUGUCAGGCCUCGGAAAACGUGCGUCCACGUGGCAGCAGGAGAGCACGCCACCUCAGCAGUACACAUGGCCGACAAACAGUGCCCGACACCCACCGACGAACGCCAGCUGUCGCACGCCCAACUGAGUCAGAGCACAGUGGGAACGUGCGUCCGGCGUAGUGGAGAACAGUGUGUCAGCCAGACUGAACGUGCGUCCGCGGUGGUAAAAGACGCGUGGCAACAGUGCAGUGGUCGACCGUCCGGCGUGGGCUGUCAGAGGCGUAGUGGAGUGCGCAGGCAGAGUGCAAACGUGCGCUGGCGGGAUGGGGUGCGCUGGUGGUGUGCGAACGUGCGCUGGCAAGUGGGAAUUCUGAACUUAUUCCCCACUUCCCCUGCAUGUCCCUCUCUUUACUCCAUUUCUGAGAAACCUAAGUUCUCUCCUCCUUCUCUCUACACUCUUGCACCUUCCCUCUCUAAGGAACCACCACUGCACCUCCUCCUAUCUGUAUCUCCGGCGCAGCUGAAGGACGCUCGACGUAGGACUCCAGAAGGACGUUCGGUUCGUGAAAACUGAACCGUGAAUUAACGAGCGUUGGCGAGUUGAGUCUCUGUGGAGAGUGUCUGUGUGCGUCUGUGAACGUUCGUUCAUUUUCCAGAGGGAGACGAGCGUUUGGAAGAGGCGCUGAAUGAAGAGAACCUGAUAGAAGUUGAAGUGAAGACCGAGCAGUGAGACGCUCGGCUAUUAAUUGUUGGCAUGGAGUGGUCGUUCGACCACCUUUGGUUUUCGUUUAAGUUGAAUUCAGCCGUUCGGUAUUUGUCCUGUGUAAACCGUUCGGUCAGAUUUUCUUGUACGUUCGGUUUUAAAUUGUAAACUCUUGUAUGGACGUGCAGUUGUGCACGCUCGUCCCUAAAUGUUGUAACUGU